UGCAUGUUCAGACAAAGGAAUCUCAUGAAUAAUUACUUUUUCUGCCUCGCUGUUUACGUUUAGUUUCGAAUCGCUGGCCGCCAUGUUGGAACUUCACUCCACCAACAUGGCGGCGUAUAAAAUUAAUUUAUGCCGUGACGUCAUGUGAAAACACACUAUAGAAUUGUAUUAUAUUUUGACGCUGUAACUUACUAAAGUGAGAAUUUUUGCAAGAAACGUCGGUUUAUUAAGCUCAAAAUCAUCCUCUGGUACUGAAAAAAGUUCCUACGAUUGCGCUGGAUAUAAAAUUGAAGGUGAAACGUACAAAACCACUUCAAAAUCAAAUUUGAAAGUGCUCCUUCGUAGAUGGCAUCUAGCUUCGUCGAGCAUGAAAAUGUGUACACUGACGAAAUAUGGGCCAAAGAAUACGUUUGAAAGUUGGAAGAAUAUAACAAGGAAAUAAGGAAAUUCAUUUUCACAUGAAACGGACCUUACAUGUACAGUAUAUCGUGAUAGUUCUUCGUAUUAAAGUGAAUAUU